UAGCGAGCUGGUACAUGGCCCGUACCCCAAACCGACACAGGUGGUCAGGUAGAGAAUACUAAGGCGAUCGAGAACUGUGGUUAAGGAACUCGGCAAAAUGCCCCCGUAACUUCGGGAGAAGGGGGACCAGUCCUGGUGACGACAUUUACUGUCUGAGCUGGGGUUGGUCGCAGAGACCAGAGAGAAGCGACUGUUUACUAAAAACACAGGUCCGUGCGAAGUCGUAAGACGAUGUAUACGGACUGACGCCUCCCCGGUGCUGGAAGGUUAAGAGGACCGGUCAGCCACUUCGGUGGCGAAGCUGAGAAUUUAAGCCCCAGUAAACGGCGGUGGUAACUAUAACCAUCCUAAGGUAGCGAAAUUCCUUGUCGGGUAAGUUCCGACCUGCACGAAUGGCGUAACGACUUCUCUGCUGUCUCAACCACAGACUCGGCGAAAUUGCAGUACGAGUAAAGAUGCUCGUUACGCGCGGCAGGACGAAAAGACCCCGGGACCUUCACUAUAGCUUGGUAUUGGUGUUCGGUUCGGUUUGUGUAGGAUAGGUGGGAGACUGUGAAACUCGCACGCCAGUGUGGGUGGAGUCAUUGUUGAAAUACCACUCUGACCGUAUUGGACAUCUAACCUCGGACCAUGAUCUGGUUCAGGGACAGUGCCUGGUGGGUAGUUUAACUGGGGCGGUUGCCUCCCAAAAAGUAACGGAGGCGCCCAAAGGUUCCCUCAGCCUGGUUGGCAAUCAGGUGUUGAGUGUAAGUGCACAAGGGAGCUUGACUGUGAGACGUACAUGUCGAGCAGGGACGAAAGUCGGGACCAGUGAUCCGGCACCGGCAAGUGGAAGCGGUGUCGCUCAACGGAUAAAAGGUACCCCGGGGAUAACAGGCUGAUCUUCCCCAAGAGUCCAUAUCGACGGGAUGGUUUGGCACCUCGAUGUCGGCUCGUCGCAUCCUGGGGCUGGAGUAGGUCCCAAGGGUUGGGCUGUUCGCCCAUUAAAGCGGCACGCGAGCUGGGUUUAGAACGUCGUGAGACAGUUCGGUCUCUAUCCGCCGCGCGCGUAAGAAACUUGAGGAAACCUGUCCCUAGUACGAGAGGACCGGGACGGACGAACCUCUGGUGUGCCAGUUGUUCCACCAGGAGCACCGCUGGUUAGCUACGUUCGGAAGGGAUAACCGCUGAAAGCAUCUAAGCGGGAAGCCUGUUCCAAGAUGAGGUUUCUCACCACCUAGCGUGGUUAAGGCCCCCCACAGACCAUGGGGUUGAUAGGCCAGAACUGUAAGCACAGCAAUGUGUUCAGGUGACUGGUACUAAUCGGCCGAGGACUUACC
rnacentral:rRNA from 1 species